AUUCCAUGUUACAAUGUCGGAAGUAGAAUUAUCAGAGGCAGCUGCCAACCUGUUGAGUGAAGCAGAGGAUUUGCCAGGCAAGACUGGCUCCCAGGGCUGUGGCGGCGGGCUGCAGCGGGAGAGGAGGACCAUGAACAUACAUCUGGAGAGGAGGGAGCAGCUAAAGAGACUGUCGCUGGACAGCAGCCUGGUGGUCUCCGACCACCAGAUGAGCGUGCCCAGACGUUUCACCACC